UCUCUUCACUUCUUCUUCUUCAGUUUCCUCUCGUCAGUCGUCUCUUCCGCCCCUCUCUGAAGAAAACCCUAACCACCUCUACUGAACCUAUACGCAAAAUUUUAAUGAAGUAGAUUAAUAGAUCUCUCUGUAAAAAAACCCUAAAGCUAUUGUUGCUGAAGUUUUUGAAUCUCAAAGCUGCUGAGUUUGUAGAAAUAGGGUUUUAGAGUUUAUUUAUGAAAACUGGCGGCGAUUACUAAACUUUAUCUUCUCAUCAAAUCUGUUCUCGAUCUUCAAAUCAAGAUUGAGAACAGAACCCUUUUCUCUAUUUUCAUAGUACUUCAUUUCCAGAUUUUUCAUUCCUCAUUUUUUCUUUUUAUUGUUUUGGUUUGGAUUUAAUUUGUGAGUCGAGGGUUUCGGAUUUAAUUGAUAAUUUGGUACAACCCAGAUGGUCAAGGUGUUGUCUGAACAAAAAAAGGUGUAGGAGAACACAAAUGGGUCGUAUCAUAUUAACACUGCUUAGUCCAAAUGGAUGAGAUGCAGAUGAUUAUGAAACUGUGUUGCAGUGGGAGUUGGCUCAGAAAAGAGGGAAGGUUAUGGACAUAAUUGAUGCUGGUGCUGUUAUUGAAUUGGUAAGGGAAGGUGGAGGAUGCAGUUAUAUUGUGAAUAUGAAUGAGGGCUUUACUUUCGUCAGUUGAGUAAUAAAUGGAAUUGACUAUUUAGGUUUGUGCAUUUGAUAAUUGUUGAAUGGGUUAGAGUUUUAUACCCACCAAGAAAUCUGAAUACAAGGACAACAAUGUGGCAAAGGAUGCAUCGGCAUUUAUAUAUCAUUUAGGUAGGGGAAAAGCUCAUGCCUUUGAUCAUCCCAUCCAAUUUGCUUUGCUUUUCUUUGCCACACCACAGCUCCAGGCGAAUAUAGAUCCUCUGGACAAAGAAGUUGAAUUUUUAUCUCGGGAGAAGUUGUGUUAUGAAGCACAGAUAUUGAGGGAUGGAUCAUUUAUUCAGCCUGCACUCUCUUUCUACCGGUUGAGGGUUGUUUGGUUGGUAGAUCUUGUAGGCGGGUUCAAAAUGCCCUUACCAUAGUGCUGUCCUAUGGAGCUUGCUUGUAUGCCUGAACAUUGUGUCGAAGAUGCCAUGGAACUGCUCAUUUUUGCAUCUCGGAUACCUAGAGCGAAUGAUGGGUUCAUGCUGGAUGAUUUUAUGAACUUCAUCAUAAUGUUUAUGGGAAAGAUGGUAGAAGUCUUGAUCUGCUGGAUGCCAGAAAGAAGUGGUUCAUCUUCAACAACUUUCCUUUUUGAGGGUCAUUAAUUUGUCGUGGAGUAUCUUGUGAGGAAUCUUUUGAAGCUUUACGCUGACAUUGAGUUUACUGGAUCACAUACUCAGGUUUUAUGACAAGUUCAACAUACGUCAUAAUAUUGCUGAACUUUUGGAGUACUGAUGGUUUAUCAAAAGUGAUUGUAGUAGUGGUAAAAACAGGGUCUUUUCAGACUUGUGAAGAUUGCCAAAAAAGAGGAGAAGGGAGUGUAUUUGAACUUUCUGAACUUCCUGGUCAGCGAAAGUAUAUUUCUUCUAGCCGAAAGUCUAAACAGAAUUCUGGAACUGAAAGAGAUAGAAAAAGAGAUGGCUAAUACCGUGGAAUGGGAAAGAAGAUCAGCUCAAGUGAGGCAAAAAACAACCCGACAGUUCCAUUCUCAAGAGAAUAUCAUCCUAAUUGGUGAUGGAAGAUGUAGGCAUGCUAGCACUUACUUCAGAACAGAUUACAAUGCCUUUCUUCUUCCAGAGAUAGUAAGGUUGAAAGAGUGGCAAGUAUGCUUAAUUACUUUUUGCUACAACUUGCAGGCCCUUAACGGAAAUCUCCUACUCUAAAGGGCCCUAAGAAGUAUGAGUUCCAUCCAAAGAUACUGCUUAAGCGGAUGUGUUUGGCAUGAAAAUGUCCAGCAAUAACUAUAUGUGGAUUGAUUGGCAUCUGCUUGUUGCUGACGAAUGCCAUAAUUCUCUAAUGGAGAAACUGAUGUUUUGAACAUUUUUUGGUUUCUUUCCAUUCAAACAGUCUCUUUCCCAAAUGAUGUGUUGAUUGUUUAAGUGGUUUGUUUUACAGGACCUCAAAAUUGAUCCUAGUGAUGCAGUUUGUACUACCUCAUAGGAGUUUGUGUUAUGUCUACUGAAAAUGUAUGUAUCCUGUUAGUGGUUUAAAGCUUCAAAGUGAGUUUGGGCAUUUAGAUUGUCUAAGGAAGAUUCUCAACAAGGAAGUGGUGGCAGAACCUUUCUUCUCAAUUGAGCGAGUUAGUUAGCGAUUGAAGAUAUGAAUGGUGAAGUGUGGCAGGUGCUGUUGGUAAGAAGGUGGUAGUGAGCAUCAAGUGACUUAACCCAUGGCAGGAAAGACCAAGUAGAGGCAACAAGUCAAACAACUCUCAAAAAUCUACUGGUUCAGUCUCAUGGAAUUUUUGUAAAAAUAAAUAAAUUUCUUGUGUUAGUGGUGAUUAUUUUGCAGAGUAAAGACAUAUCAAUAGAACUUACAAGUUCAAUGCCUUCACUAAUUUUAACUAGUGUAUGACAUGAGUGUUAAAAUGUGGAUAGUUUGCGGAUUGAGAAGGCCUAAGGCCUGUAUUUCAGGUUUCA